rnacentral:rRNA from 1 species
UACGUAGGUGGCAAGCGUUGUCCGGAUUUACUGGGCGUAAAGGGCGUGCAGGCGGUCUGUUAAGUGCAGGGUGAAAGCUCCCGGCUCAACUGGGAGAGGUCCUUGCAUACUGGCGGACUUGAGGGGGGUAGAGGAAAGUGGAAUUCCCGGUGUAGUGGUGAUAUGCGUAGAUAUCGGGAGGAACACCUGUGGCGAAGGCGGCUUUCUGGGCCCUACCUGACGCUGAGACGCGAAAGCCAGGGGAGCAAACGGG